GUGCUUAAUUUGGCAGCACAUGUACUAAAACUGGAAUGAUUCAAAGAAGAUUAGCAUGGCCCCCUGCAAGGAUGACAUGAAAAUUCAUGAAGUAUUUCAUGGAAAA
ensembl:snRNA U6 U6 spliceosomal RNA